rnacentral:rRNA from 1 species
UUUCCGUAAGGGGUGACUGCGGAGGGAUCAUUACAGAGUUGCAAAACUCCCUAAACCAUUGUGGACGCUACCUUCAAACGUUGCUUCGGCGGGCGGCCCGCUCCCCUGGAAAGCCCCUGUGGCCGCCCGGGGCUGCAGGCCCCCCGGCCCCCCCUCGCGGGGGCGCCCGCCGGAGGAUGCCCAACUCUUGAUAAUUUUAGGCCUCUCUGAGUCUUCUGUACUGAAUAAGUCAAAACUUUCAACAACGGAUCUCUUGGUUCUGGCAUCGAUGAAGAACGCAGCGAAAUGCGAUAAGUAAUGUGAAUUGCAGAAUUCAGUGAAUCAUCGAAUCUUUGAACGCACAUUGCGCCCGCCAGUAUUCUGGCGGGCAUGCCUGUUCGAGCGUCAUUUCAACCAUCAAGCCCCAGGCUUGUGUUGGGGACCUGCGGCUGCCCGCAGGCCCUGAAAACCAGUGGCGGGCUCGCUGUCACCCCGAGCGUAGUAGCAAUCACCUCGCUCAGGGCGUGCCGCGGGCGCCGGCCGUUAAAGCUGCCUUCGCGCAACACCCAAGGUUGACCUCGGAUCAGGUAGGAAGACCCGCUGAACUUAAGCAUAUCAAAAGCCGGGAGGAAA